AUGGCCUUAGGCAGCUAAUCAGCUUUGUGCCAGUGGGUUAGUUGCAUGGGGGUGUCUGGUCUGAAUGUACUUUUUUUCCCCCUCCUUUUGGUUGGGAAUUUUAUCUUCUGCUGCUGGUUUCCUUUGGAAAAGUUCCUAUUCUUUAAGCAUUAAAGGGACAUUUUUUAACAAUUGGGAGCACUCUCAUAUCAAGUGCUGAAUCACUGCAGGGAUAUGUUGAGUCUUCUGAAUAAACUGAUGUGAUCUGCACAAAUAGCUAUACCAGUGGUAUUAAAGUGUCUUGACUACCUCUGCCUAUAACCAGAGACUCACCCAGUGAGGAUGAAUUCCCAGUCACACCAGCUUGCUGUAACAGAAGAAAAAUAAGAAGGGAAAAUAAAAGUUUCUUAAUUAGAACGCAGCAAAAAGUAAGCUCACAAAGGAACUGCCAAUUCUCAGCCUCUUGGGCAGACAGUUGGAUCCCGUGUCUGAGGGUUCGGAGCAACCACACGGAACCUGCACCGUCCUGACCACGGGCUGGGUCACCGGCUGGGGCGUAAAGACUCACCUGAGUAACUCGAGAAAUCCCUUCAAUCUCCCCUUUUGAUUUGCCUUUCACAGGACAGAAGCCAUGAAGGACCACAACCCAUGAAGUGUCCAGCUGCUUUAAUCCCUGCAAAACAGUGACAUAUUUGUUGUUCCUCCGUUCAUCCCACUGUGAGAAGACAUUGCUUUCAAGAGUGACUGAAAUAUCCAGGGAUUAGAGGGAUGAUUUCAGUGCUGUGUACACCUUUUUCUCAGAUGCUGUUUGAUUUACAUUACCUCUGCUAGCAGGAUAUUUCCUCUAACAGAUAAACCAGCAAGACGCAAUUCCUAAAAUAACUUUAGAUCUUCUUAAAUUAAAUCAGAGCAUCAAUAUGUUUCAAUUUUUUAGUCUUCUUGUUUAGUCACCAUGUUCACAAAUACAAACUCUUUUCCUGGCUGGUGCAAAAUAAAAGUUUAGGGACCAUAAAUAUCCAAAGUGGUGCUUGACUGAAGGUUUACUAAGGUUAAAAAAAUAUUUAAACAAUUUAGGAGUCUAAAACAGACUCUUGGAAGGCACCUAGGAUUGGAUUUCCAAAGGUACUCGCAUAUUUAAAGACUCAGACAGGACCUAGGAUUACGGAGAAGGUAGUGGCAGUCUUUGGCUGCUAAUUAUAAUUAAAAUCCAUGUUUGCUGUAGCUCAAGUCCUCCUUCUUUUCAGCAUGACUUGGGGCUGCUAGACAAGCUGUACUAAGUGCUGGGCUAAACAGCUCUCAACUCAUCAGGCACAUUCUGCAAAAUCUUAUUUUUGGGUAAUCUGGAAAAUUUUACCCGUAAACUUUUCUGUACCUCCUGGGAUAGCCUCAGCUGAAUCUCUGUCACCAUCUUCCCCAGAGAUGACCAUGUCUCUGGGAAUACAGACUGUACAUAGGUAAAAAAAGAAAAAAAUUAGAGACAAAGGAUUAAAAUAACACUAUAGCCAGUUGGUGAUUUCAACACGGUGGGUCCACCUGCACAGAGAUGUUUGUAGGACUGGAGCCAAAGUGCUAAAAGUGCAAAACCAGGUUUUGUUUGGUUUUGAGUCUGCAAUCAAUUACCAGAACAAAAAUGGUACCCAGAAAGCUGGAGGCAAAUUUUAAGGGCUGUAAUCAAAACCGAAAGAUGAACUGAGAAAUAUUUUAAUCUGCCAAAAUUUGUGUGCAAAGGUUCUGUGUUUCCUCUGCAAGAUGUGAUAAUGUCUUCCUGUGUGGCAGAGGAUAUUGCAAAUAUUGGUGUGAGUGCAAUCAGAAGAUUAGGCAAAAGGCAAGCUUGAGCACAAGAGCCUGGUCAGUCAGGGACUGAAGUAUGUGUUUUUAAUACUUUAUUUUAUAGCUAACUUCUCAUAAUUACAAACAGCUUCUCCUUUCUUUCAAAGAUUUUAUUUCACAUUUGAACUACUGACUUGAAAAGUUUUGUUAUUUUUUCCUCAAAAAUGUUUAACCAAUUUUUUCUCUUACUUGCAUUUCUUUUGAUUCAUGCAAUGAAGCGAGAACAGAGAUGAAGACUUGAUAUUAAAAUUUGAAGGCUGGCAAAGGCAGUAUGCUCUUUUGAAAAAUAUCAGGUCAGCUUGCAUUGGUUUGAGAGAGACAGAGAAUCUAAUUUUGAAAAUCCUACCAGGUGGGCAGGUGAUAUCUGUAUCUUUAGAGAACCUAAAACUUUUGACAUAUUGACCAUUGAUCCUUAAUUUGCAAGUUUAGUUCCUGAUUUCAGCUCAACAGGAUCUAUCCAGUCAAAAUUCUAAUCACAGCUUUCCAUUAUGGAAAGUUUACUCCUCAUUUAAAGCCUCCCUAUAUUGAAAAAUCAUGUAAACAGAUUGUGGAAUAACUGAAGUUCUUGGUUUAAUGUGUUUUUGAAACUACAGAUGGAACAAAAUCUUAAAAUCAAGUUUUCAGUAUCCUAAGAUA